AAUGAUCCUGGGAAUGAGUGAAGGCCAAAAGGAGAUCAAAAAAGGAAAGGAUCUCCCUCCCACUAGCCUGAAAGGCCUACUUGUGCCCACGAGUGGGAAAAGAAAGCUGACAAGUUUUUUUUUAACUCAUGAUUCUGGGCCUCCUUCAUUUACACUGAGCCUGUAAAACUCUGAAACCUGGUUUACAGUACCGCAUGGUGGGAAAGCAGGUAAAAAUACCUGACAGACAGACAGACAGACACACACACACACACACACACACACACACACACACACACAGAGGCUCACAGGUCUCAACCACAUCAACCAUAGCCUGCUCUUCCUGGUCAAGUGAGCUGUUUGAUGCCUGCAAGGGUGAGUGGGGCACAUCAGUCACCCAGUCUCAGUUCGCAGAGGACCGAAGAUAGUCACUGCCUCAUCCUGUUCUGAGUCCUAACCAAUUGUUAAAAGUUCUCCAAGAGUCAGAAAUUACAUAUUAAAGGUUUUUCUAUUUUUUCCUUUGCACUAGCAGCACAGAUUUUAAAUGGAGGGCAUAUGAGCAGUGUUUACAACAGCAUGGGAGUGUGAUUCAGUGUCUGAGGGCCACCAUGCCCAGGGUGGGAUGCCACUGCACCAGAGGGGUUGACUGAUCACUCAGACAGAGGUAAGAGAAUAAGGUGUGAAUGACUGGUCCUAUGUUAGAGGUCAGAAGUGUCAGCACUGACACUAGGGGGCAAAUCCAAUGUUGAUCCACCUUUUAAAUGCAUAGGUUAGAAGUCCCACUUAACCAUUCUGAGAAAAAGCUGGAGAAGCCAAGGAGUUCCUAUUAGCCUGGCAGCCCAUAGCUCCCUAUCCAACAAGAGCACAAGAGGAGACAAAGUGCUGGUCAGGAUAAGUGGUCUCCAAGCUGCUCAGAGCCUGCACUCGGGCUUUAGUUCACCACUUGGGAAGGCUCAGGAGGUUUUCACAAUAGCACUUCAUAGGGUAGAGUGUGCGUGAAGGGUCAGGGAUGGGGGACCAUUGAGGCUGAAGGAGAGGACAGCAGAAGAGACCUCCAAGUGAUAAGAAGACACCCACCCAGAAAGUAGCCCUGGACAGCGCUUCCAUCAGGCAAUGCCAGUCCACAUGCACACCAAGAAUGUCACUUCAAAAGUUUUGCCCACAAAUCCAAUCACUUUGACUCAGUCGCCUGAAAUCAGAUACCUUCUUAAUCCUGUUCCAAUAGGACCACCUUUGUUACCUACUGGAGACAACAAGAGAGCAUAACAAUGUCAAAAUAACAACCCCGUAUCUUGUGGGUUCCUUCCCCUCCUGGCUCUUUGUAAAUAUGAUUUGAGGGGAAAUCUUGAUAAGGUGAAUUUUAGCUUUAUAUCCUAUUGCUAUAGAAACGGCAAUAACAGAACUCGUGUAGUCUUUUUUUUUUUUUUCCAGCACCUCCUCUCACCUGACACAAAGACCUGAGCACUAAUUACAUUCCCAUUAGCAUUUUCCAUCUGACAAAGAGUUCUCUGGAUCAAUUACAGAUUCAUUUAUUUUAAUUGUGGUACUACCUCUGGGUGGCAAGAGUCCGCACUACUGUUGACAGCAGCUGCCCGUCCUUGGCUGAAACUUGCAUGACAUACUGCGGCUGCCCAUUCACUAGGCUGCCACAAUCCUCCACCGUCUUCACCACGGGUGCAGCUGAGCUGGUGCAGUCUGGCAGGACUUCGGGCAGGUGACUGCAGCGGCUGGUUGUCAUGGUAACAGACAGCAAUUACUCUGCUAAUGGCUUCCACAUUCAUACAGGAUUUCCAUCUAAGAGAGAUCAGAAAACAGUUUACUUGGGCAGGGUGGCUAAUAGAAAAUGGAGAAUUAUGGGCCACCAACAUCAUCAUCAUGUCAUUAUUUAAUACAAAUAACAGGGGUAGCCUAGAUGUGGCACAUUAUCUUGUUACUGUUUAAUACAAGUGCACACACACACACACACACAGAGCCCACAAGAAACAGCAGAUAUGGUAUGAAUAAGACAGCAAGCAUGUCCGUGUAUAUAAACAUUUAGCAGCCCUGCUUUCCACGAGGGGACAGAAUGAUGACUCUGAGGCCCAGAUCUGAAGAGAAGAUAAGCAGUUCCCUGCUCUGUGCUAGAGAAGCAAUAAGUUUUUGUUGACACUCUCUAAAAGUUACUAAAAUCAUUAUUAAAAACAUUCAGAACUAUUUUUUCUGGUAAGCAAUUUAUUCUACAUGCAGCUUCAUUCUGAGAUACUAAGAUUAAAAGGAGAGAGAAAGAAGGAAGGAAAAUAAAAAUGAAUUUGGCCAAGUAUUAAUAGUAUGUUCUAGGACAAUAUUUGCCAAACAUGAAUCACUCAAUGACUGUACCACCUUUCGACUUUUGCCAUAUCUGUUGCAUAAUAAAAUUUUCUACUCAAUACAUCUUGAAAUUAACUUCCUUUAAAAAUGGAACCUAUUUUAGCUUUGUCUUCAAGUUAUUCAUGAAAUGAGUUUAAUGAGC
rnacentral:lncRNA from 10 species